UGCCUGCCCUGUGACCCUAGGUUUAACGGCCGCGGUAUUUUGACCGUGCGAAGGUAGCGCAAUCACUUGUCUUUUAAAUGAAGACCUGUAUGAAUGGCAAGACGAGGGCUUAACUGUCUCCUCCCCCCAGUCAAUGAAAUUGAUCUUCCCGUGCAGAAGCGGGAAUAUGCCCAUAAGACGAGAAGACCCUAUGGAGCUUUAGACAUAAGACAGCCUAUGUUAAGCACCCCUGAUAAGGCCUCCAAACAAAAUAGGCCCUGCCUGAAUGUCUUUGGUUGGGGCGACCGCGGGGACAUAAAAAACCCCCACGUGGAAUGGGAGUACCUCUCCCAGAGCUAAGAGCUACGGCUCUAGGCAACAGAAUUUCUGACCAGCAAGAUCCGGUACAUCCGAUCAACGGACCGAGUUACCCUAGGGAUAACAGCGCAAUCCCCUUCCAGAGUCCCUAUCGACAAGGGGGUUUACGACCUCGAUGUUGGAUCAGGACAUCCUAAUGGUGCAGCCGCUAUUAAGGGUUCGUUUGUUCAACGAUUAAAGUCCUACGUGAUCUGAGUUCAGACCGGA
rnacentral:rRNA from 1 species